rnacentral:rRNA from 1 species
AACGAUGAAGCUUCUAGCUUGCUAGAAUGCUGAUUAGUGGCGCACGGGUGAGUAACGCAUAGGUCAUGUGCCUCUUAGUUUGGGAUAGCCAUUGGAAACGAUGAUUAAUACCAGAUACUCCCUACGGGGGAAAGAUUUAUCGCUAAGAGAUCAGCCUAUGUCCUAUCAGCUUGUUGGUAAGGUAAUGGCUUACCAAGGCUAUGACGGGUAUCCGGCCUGAGAGGGUGAACGGACACACUGGAACUGAGACACGGUCCAGACUCCUACGGGAGGCAGCAGUAGGGAAUAUUGCUCAAUGGGGGAAACCCUGAAGCAGCAACGCCGCGUGGAGGAUGAAGGUUUUAGGAUUGUAAACUCCUUUUGUUAGAGAAGAUAAUGACGGUAUCUAACGAAUAAGCACCGGCUAACUCCGUGCCAGCAGCCGCGGUAAUACGGAGGGUGCAAGCGUUACUCGGAAUCACUGGGCGUAAAGAGCGCGUAGGCGGGAUAGUCAGUCAGGUGUGAAAUCCUAUGGCUUAACCAUAGAACUGCAUUUGAAACUACUAUUCUAGAGUGUGGGAGAGGUAGGUGGAAUUCUUGGUGUAGGGGUAAAAUCCGUAGAGAUCAAGAGGAAUACUCAUUGCGAAGGCGACCUGCUGGAACAUUACUGACGCUGAUUGCGCGAAAGCGUGGGGAGCAAACAGGAUUAGAUACCCUGGUAGUCCACGCCCUAAACGAUGGAUGCUAGUUGUUGGAGGGCUUAGUCUCUCCAGUAAUGCAGCUAACGCAUUAAGCAUCCCGCCUGGGGAGUACGGUCGCAAGAUUAAAACUCAAAGGAAUAGACGGGGACCCGCACAAGCGGUGGAGCAUGUGGUUUAAUUCGAAGAUACACGAAGAACCUUACCUAGGCUUGACAUUGAGAGAAUCCGCUAGAAAUAGUGGAGUGUCUGGCUUGCCGGACCUUGAAAACAGGUGCUGCACGGCUGUCGUCAGCUCGUGUCGUGAGAUGUUGGGUUAAGUCCCGCAACGAGCGCAACCCCCUUUCUUAGUUGCUAACAGGUUAUGCUGAGAACUCUAAGGAUACUGCCUCCGUAAGGAGGAGGAAGGUGGGGACGACGUCAAGUCAUCAUGCCCCUUAUGUCCAGGGCUUCACACAUGCUACAAUGGUCGGUACAACGCGCAGCGACACUGUGAGGUGGAGCGAAUCGCUGAAAGCCGGCCUUAGUUCGGAUUGGGGUCUGCAACUCGACCCCAUGAAGUCGGAGUCGCUAGUAAUCG